CAAAUACUCUCUCCGUCCCAAAUUACUUGUCACAGAAAUGGACGUAUCUAGAACUAAAAAUACAUCUAGAUACAUACAUUUCUGCGACAAGUAGUUCCGGACGGAGGGAGUAGUUG
rfam:Triticum aestivum genome assembly, contig: Triticum_aestivum_CS42_TGACv1_scaffold_328772_4BS